GAUGAACGCUAGCGGCAGGCCUAACACAUGCAAGUCGAGGGAUAAGCCUUCGCGCUCGGACCGUCGCACGGGUGCGUACCGCGUAUACAAUCUUCCUUUUAUCCGGUGGAUAUCCCGAAGAAAUUUGGAUUAAUACCCUAUGGUAUAAGAGCACGGCCUCGUUCCCUUAUUAAAGCUACGGCGUUAAAAGAUGAGUAUGCGUUCUAUUAGCUUGUUGGAUAGGUAAUGGCUGCGUAAGUCGACGAUAGAUAGGGGUUUGGAGAGUGAUGUCCCCCACACGGGUACUGAGAUACUGACCACACUCCUACGGGACGCAGCAGUGAGGAAGACAGCACAAGGGUAUGAAGACUGAUCCAGCCAAGCCUCAUGCAGCAGGACCGCGUUAUGGGUGAUAAACUUCUUUUGGAAGGGAAGAAUAAGCAGUACGGAUACUUUGAUGACGGUACCUGAUGAAUAAGCACCGGCUAACUCCGUG
rnacentral:rRNA from 1 species